CAAGACGAAGCUAAUAUAGUAAAGCAUCUCCCUUACACCGAGAAGUUAUCUGUGCAAAUCAGAUCGUCCUGA
rnacentral:tRNA from 1 species